AGAAAGAAAUUCAACAAGAGGGGACACUCGGCAAAAACUGGCAACAGGAAACACGUCGCCAUACGUCACGCUAUACUUUUGACACCGAACGUUAGCUGCCGCGAGCAUCGAAAAAAAAAGAAAACGAACUUAAGUUAACAGGCAUUGAUUUAUUUUUAAAAUUCUUUGCCGCGAAAACUAAAACGUUUUGCGUAUAAAUGAACUUAAGCUUUGCGACUUAUUUUCCUUGCCUUACCUAGCCACAGGUCGAUGACGCGCCAGUUACAUGCGUCAUCCGCCAGCCACUCCCCCGAAGCCAGCGAGGAUGGCUGCGCGCGCGUUUGAGCGCUCGCGCGCGGCGACCCGUCUGUCUCCUUUUUUUUUUUUUUAAAUGUAACCUGGUUUAUUGGGCUCUCGGCGUAUUCUUGCGUUCAUUCUGCACUGGGACAAGACACCACUGCACUAUUGGACUACGGCAAGCUGGUACCGUCCGGUGGAGCUUCAUACAGGAACUACUGCCUUACCUGCUGGUGUCACAACGUUGGAUGAACGCACAAAAAGCGCGGAACGAGCUUUUAUAUAGAGCAAAAUAAAUAUUUCCUCAUUGCACAAAAGGUCUCGCGUCUACUUUGUGAAAUUGCACGUGGCACAGAUUCGAUGGGACUUUACGAGAUCGUUAGCAAUCAUUUUUACUAAAUAAGAAACCGAUUCUGCACGAAGAGCAAAAAAAAAAAGAAAAAAAAAGGAAAAGGGGGGGGGGGGGGGCGCAGCC